UUGGAGGGCAAGUCUGGUGCCAGCAGCCGCGGUAAUUCCAGCUCCAAUAGCGUAUAUUAAAGUUGUUGCAGUUAAAAAGCUCGUAGUUGAACUUCGGGGUCUACCCAUUGGUCAGGCUUAAUUGUCUGUACUGGUGAGGUGGAUCUCUACCUUCUGAGGAACUUUCAUGCCAUUUAUUUGGUGUGGUUGGAAAUCAGGACUGUUACUUUGAAAAAAUUAGAGUGUUUAAAGCAGACUAUCGUCUGAAUACAUUAGCAUGGAAUAAUGAAAUAGGACGGACUGAUUCUAUUUCGUUGGUUUCUAGGAUCACCGUAAUGAUUAAUAGGGAUAGUUGGGGGCAUUAGUAUUCAAUUGUCAGAGGUGAAAUUCUUGGAUUUAUUGAAGACUAACUACUGCGAAAGCAUUUGCCAAGGAUGUUUUCAUUAAUCAAGAACGAAAGUUAGGGGAUCGAAGACGAUCAGAUACCGUCGUAGUCUUAACCAUAAACUAUGCCGACUAGGGAUCGGACGAAGUUAAUUUUAUAAUGACGCGUUCGGCACCUUACGGGAAACCAAAGUGUUUGGGUUC
rnacentral:rRNA from 1 species